rnacentral:lncRNA from 1 species
GGGAAUUGUUUGACGACUUGAUGAAGAUGUGCUUGUGGUCGAAAUUCUUCCACCAUGGAAGAUGUACUUUGAUGGUGCUGCUCAUCAAGAUGGAGCUGGAGUCCUCUUUCUUACUUCUGAAGGAGAAGUGCUGCCGCACUCCUUCACCUUGUCGAAACCUUGUUCCAAUAAUCUCGCAGAGUACCAAGCCCUCAUACUUGACUUGAGAUGGCUGUGGAUUUGAAAGAGUUGCAACUCUUAUGGAGAUUUUAAAUUGGUGAUCAAUCAUUACUUCUGAAGGAGAAGUGCUGCCGUACUCCUUCACCUUGUCGAAACCUUGUUCCAAUAAUCUCGCAGAGUACCAAGCCCUCAUACUUGACUUGAGAUGGCUGUGGAUUUGAAAGAGUUGCAACUCUUAUGGAGAUUUUAAAUUGGUGAUCAAUCAACUCCUUGGUAAUUAUUCAGUUAAAAAGCCUGACCUGAAUUG